rnacentral:rRNA from 1 species
CAGCAGCCGCGGUAAUACGAAGGGUGCAAGCGUUACUCGGAAUUACUGGGCGUAAAGCGUGCGUAGGUGGUGGUUUAAGUCCGUUGUGAAAGCCCUGGGCUCAACCUGGGAAUUGCAGUGGAUACUGGGUCACUAGAGUGUGGUAGAGGAUAGUGGAAUUUCCGGUGUAGCAGUGAAAUGCGUAGAGAUCGGAAGGAACAUCUGUGGCGAAGGCGACUAUCUGGGCCAACACUGACAUUGAGGCACGAAAGCGUGGGGAGCAAACAGGAUUAGAUACCCAGUAGUCCCUGUCUCUUAUACA